rnacentral:rRNA from 1 species
GCAAGUCGUACGAGAGUUUUUAACUCAAGUGGCGGACGGGUGAGUAACAUGUGGGUAUCUACCCUUUGGCCUGGAAUAACACGAGGAAACUUGUGCUAAUACCGGAUAAGUCUUUACGGAGAAAGCUUUAUGCACCAUUGGAUGAGCCCGCACUUGAUUAGUUUGUUGGUAGGGUAAUGGCCUACCAAGACUAUGAUCAAUAGCUGAUUUGAGAGGAUGAUC